GAAAGUGACCUCCCAGGAGCGCUACUCUCCAGGCCAGAACUUGGGGGAGGCAGAGUCCGGGCCCCCCAGGAGCCAGCUCGGGUCUUCCGGGGAGGACAGCACUGGGAAGCCAGGCACGUGCAGCGUGUAGCCGCGCAAAGUUGUGAAUGCCGCUCAGCACCAACUCUUUAACUUGCAAGUCUGUUUAUGCUCACUCACGUUGGGGAGAUGGCUCAGGAUAAAGUACUUGCCAAACGAGUGUGAAGACCGGAGUCACAAUCCCAAGAGCCCAUGUAGACUAGAAACAGAAGCACGGGUCUGUGUUCCUGUGGGGAUAUUAGAGGCAAACAUGGGAAUGACACCCCCGAGCAAUGAGGAGCAACACUUGAGGCUGUCUUCUGACUUCCACAUGCUUGCAGUGAAAAAAUGAAAGACGCACCCACCCCCAGCGCAAAGAUGAAACAAAUUCCCUGGAAGGUGAUAUACCUCUGGGGAAAUGCUUUGAACAACCCCACUUCCACGCAGCACGCUGUUCAUCUCUAAGACCUUCUGCUAAGGCAUUAUCCUUCUGCUAGCAGUAAGAACAGCUCUUCCAGAAGCUAUGUUCUUUGCAGGAAACCCGUGAGUAUAUACAGGCAGAUUAAAGGUAAGUGGGUGAUACUAGAAGCAAAACAUGUGUCCUAAAUGCCCAUGUUGAGACUUACUUGCUAGAGUGAUAGCAUUAAGAGGUGAUUAAAUCACGAGGCUCUAUGCCCAUCAGAGGAAACAGUGAUUCUCUAAAAGGGCUAGAACAGUCAUCUCCUCCCUUACCCUGUGUGAAGUCAUGGUGUCCAAGUAGUGGCCUUGGGAACAGAGGCCCAAGUCCCAGUGCCUGA